GGAAUCUUCCACAAUGGACGCAAGCCUGAUGGAGCAACACCGCGUGAGUGAAGAAGGGUUUCGGCUCGUAAAGCUCUGUUGUUAAAGAAGAACACGUAUGAGAGUAACUGUUCAUACGUUGACGGUAUUUAACCAGAAAGUCACGGCUAACUACGUGCCAG
rnacentral:rRNA from 1 species